rnacentral:tRNA from 1 species
GUAGGUGUAGUUUAACAAAAACAUUAGAUUGUGAUUCUAAUAAUAGAAGCUGAGUCUUCUCACCUACC